rfam:Eutrema salsugineum unplaced genomic scaffold scaffold_14, whole genome shotgun sequence.
AUGGAGGUGAGGAUUAUUUCCCCAAAUGAUCGAAGCUGAACAAACUGAGAGAUUGAUUUCUCUUUUAGAGAAAGCCUAUUUUCUGAUCUAU